AGUCUACAGGGCCCAGGCCAUCUCUUUGUCUGUGUAACAAGAACAGAAGAUGAACAAAUCAACAAGACUAAAACCCUACUCUCAAGAUUUCACACAGUUGGAGAAUUGACCAAUAGAGACGUGGUUUCACCGUGUUGCCCAGGCUGGUCGCGAACUCCUGAGCUCAGGCCGUCUGCCCGCUCGCUGCAGCCUCUCAAAGUGCUGGGAUUAUAGGCGUGAGCCACCGCACCUGGCAGAGUCUGGAUAUUUCUUUACAGACCUUGGAGGGCAAGUCCCUUAUCAGGUAGGUAAUUCAAAAAUAUUUUCUCUCAGUCUGCGGCUUGAUUCUUUUUGUUCUUUUUAACUUUGUAUCAUGAAAAAUUUCAAACUUACACAAAGAAUAAUACC
rnacentral:lncRNA from 13 species